AUCUGUUGCUGCACCCGGUUUCAGGAGUGCUGGCUGCUGUCUGGCGCUUCUUUGGUGCCACGCCAAUCGACUGGUUC
rnacentral:tRNA from 1 species